ACUAUCACAAAAAAAGUUUUUCUUAGGAGAGUAAGUCAAUGGCACAUUUCUCAGAACUCCAUAGUAGUUUCCUUCUCUCUCUCUUUUCAAAAUAUACUAUACAGUAAUGGAUAGCGAGUUGAUUCAGUUCCAGAUGGAGGCGAUUCUGGGGCCUGAUUCACAGCCAUUUCAAACCUUUAUUUCCAAUCACUGGCCCAGCUCCGAGGAGAAACGACCCAAGGCUGAGUGGAUGUUCAACAUGAUGAAGCAAAAGGAUCCAGAGUCCAUUGCUCUUAAGCUUGUUGACUAUCUUGGCCCUUCCCACGACAUUUAUUACCGUGAAAGGUGUGCUGGACUCCUUCACAAUCUAAGUGUCUCCGCUCAAGCCAUCAUCAAAUCUAUGAUCGUUGAUCGUAUCUCCCUUGAAGAACCAGGAUUCAUCAUCCAAGAGCUACUUAUAACCGUUUGGACGCUGAUUGAUUCAGUUCCCGCAGAUAAAACCUGGCCUGAAUUAUUGCCACCCCUGUACAGUCACUAAUUCCAGUUUAGACCCGUACUUAAAAGGGGCAGCUUGCAUAAUAUUUGCGAUUCUAUCUAAGGACAUAGGCGAAACAACAGUACUUUGCGUAAAAGAUUUGCACAAGCUAUUCCUUAAUACACUGAAUGAUGAUACCCUCCACCUCUAAGUGAGGAUCACUGCCGCAAGAGCUGUGAUCACCUUCAUUCAGAGCUUACCGAGUUCAAAUGAAAAAGAGCGGUUUCAAGAACUAUGCCAGUUAUGAUGAGGGCUUUGACUGACACAUUGAACAACAAGAGGAGGGAGGAUGCAGCAGAGCAGGUGCUGCUAUUUCAUAUAAAGUUGGCGAAGAAUGAACCUAGGUUCUUGAGGAGGCAACUAGUGGAUGUGGUGGGUACCAUGUUUGACAUAGCAGAGGAUAAGAGUUUGGAAGAAAGGACAAGGCACUUGGCAAUUGAGUUCGUAUUAGCUUUGGUUGAGGCUAGGGAAAAGGCCCCUGGUAUGAUGAAGAAGCUGCCUCUGUUUACUACCACUUGUUUUGCAGUGUUGUUGAAUUUGUUACUGGAUAUUAAGGACAAACCUAGCUGGCAUAGUUUGGAGAUCUGGUAUGACCAGGCAGGGGUUACUGAUAACUACAUUUACGGUCGCGAGUGUUUAGGCCGGUUUUCUAAAGCAUUAGGUGGCAAGACUAUAGCUCCUAUUGAACUAGAGCAGUUGGAUGCUUACUUGGUAGUCCCUGAGUGGGAGAAACGGCACGCAGCUCUCAUUGCACUUUCUCAGAUAGCCGAAGGAAGCUCAAAGGUGAUGAUGAAGUAUUUGGAGCAAAUAGUGUAUAUGGUUGCUUUCCAAGAUCCUCAUCCUCGAGUCAGAUAGGCCGCUAUUAAUGCAGUUGCGCAGUUCUCAAUCGACUUCUGUCCACAUUUACAAGUACAAUACCAUAACUUAGUAUUGCCUGCAUUAGCUGCAGCUAUGGAUGAUUUUCAACAUCCUCGAGUGCAGGUAUGCAAAUAUAGAGGCCACCUUGUUACAAAAGGCAGAUUACUGCUAACAAGUUUAAGAGAUUGAUGGUGUAUUUUCCUACUCAUUACUGUUGUUUGGAAUGCGGAACGACAAUGAAAUGGUUCAAAGAGCAGCAUUAAAGGCAUUGUCGGGUAUUGCUAAUUUAUCUAAGGAGCAAUUCCAAACGUACUAUGAUUUUGUAAUGCCAUAUUUGAAAACUAUCUGGGCAAAUGCAAAUGAUAAAUCUAAUCACAAGCUUCAAGUCAGAGCCUUCGAGUGCAUAAGCCUGGUUGCAAUGGCUGUAGGCAAAGAGAAAUUCAGAGAUGACUUGGAGCAGGUUAUGGAAGUGCUGAAGUCAUUUUAAAAAUCACAAGUGAGAGAGUCUGAUACUAUUGUUUACAUUCUACAGGCAUGCAACCGAAUUUGCCAGUGCAUAGGGAAGGAUUUUCUUCCUUACAUGAGUACAGUCAUGCCGUCUUUGGUUGAAUGUGCUCAAUUUGAGCCCAAUAAGACUAUAUCGACUGAUAAAUUAUAUGAUAGAUAAGCUUUUAUCAUUGAGGUUUGGCUUUAUCUUUAUUUUUUAAAUUCAUUUGGAUUUUUGCGAACAGCCUCUUAACUUAUGAAUAGCUGACAGAGAAUCCAAAGGCCUUCUAGCCUUUGCCUAUUGUUAAAAAGAUGUUAGACUGAUUGAUGUCACAUUUUGUUAUAUAUUGAUCCCUCAUAUCUGUCUUUAAAUUUAUAGCUCAAAAUGGCUAACAUGUCCUCUAACUCUGGCUGAAUAUUAUCGACCUAUAUUGCUUUGAUAUCUACCAGACGUGGUGUCAAUUAGUUUGCAACAUCCCGUUGUCAAAUUUUUCUCCAGAUGUAUAAUCAACACACUUUUAGGAGCACAGUUUCUUUAGUUACUCUCCCAGUUAAAUAUAAUUUCUCCGGAAUCCAUAGGAUUUCUGGUUAUUUCUUUUGCUCCACUGAUCAGUACUAAGACUGCUAAGGAGAUGUGGUUAUUGGGGCUACCUAGGGUCAACUUGAGUUUCACAUUUUGCAGUAUACACAAAGCCAAGUUUGGGAAUGAAAUGAUAUGCAUCAAAAGAAGUGACCUCCUAGAGGUGAAAUCUAUAGCCUCUGGUUUCCUUGGUAGAUAUGAUCAUAAUUUGAAGGAAGAAUUCUACCCAUGGAUUUCCCAGGUAAGCAAGAAUAAUCACUUGCACGUUUACUUUUUCUCGUACGAACCGGUUAGUCCUUCGUACGAACUGGUUUAGAUGGUAAUACAUUAGAUCAGAGAAGCGUCUUCAUAGUAUCAGGUUGAGGUCCAAAGUCAGGUCACCAAGCUUCGAGCCCGAGGGACCGAUCAAUGUCGAGCUCGAUGUCAUUAUCGAGCUCGAAUCCAAGUCGAACUAUGAUGCAAAGUAAAGUUAUC